rnacentral:rRNA from 1 species
GCAAUUGGCGUCUUACCAUGCAGUCGACGGAUAAUAUUUGUGCUUGCACAAAUAAAGUUAGUGGCAAACGGGUGAGUAAUACAUGGGAAUUUUCCUUGUAGUAUGGAAUAACUAUUGGAAACAAUAGCUAAUACUGUAUAUUGCCGAGAGGUGAAAGAUUUAUCGCUACAAGAUAAGCCCAUGCAAGAUUAGCUAGUUGGUAAGGUAAUGGCUUACCAAGGCAACGAUCUUUAGCUGGUUUGAGAGAAUGAUCAGCCACACUGGAACUUAGACACGGUCCAGACUCCUACGGGAGGCAGCAGUGGGGAAUAUUGGACAAUGGGCGAAAGCCUGAUCCAGUGACGUCACGUGAAUGAUGAAGACCUUAGGGUUGUAAAAUUCUUUUAGUGGAGAAGAUAAUGACGGUAUCCACAGAAAAAGUCCCGGCUAACUUCGUGCCAGCAGCCGCGGUAAUACGAAGGGGGCAAGCGUUACUCGGAAUUAUUGGGCGUAAAGCGUGCGUAGGCGGCUUUAUAAGUUGGAAGUGAAAGCCUUUGGCUCAACCAAAGAAUUGCUUACAAAACUGUAGAGCUAGAGUAUUAGAGAGGAUAGAAGAAUUUCUGAUGUAGGGGUGAAAUCCGUAGAUAUCAGAAAGAAUAUCGAAGGCGAAAGCAUCUGUCUGGCUAAAUACUGACGCUGUUGCACGAAAGCGUGGGGAGCAAACAGGAUUAGAUACCCUGGUAGUCCACGCAGUAAACGAUGAGUGCUAGAUGUUAGAACUAUGUUUUAGCGUCGAAGCUAACGCAUUAAGCACUCCGCCUGGGAACUACGAUCGCAAGGUUAAAACUCAAAGGAAUUGACGGGGACCCGCACAAGCGGUGGAACAUGUGGUUUAAUUCGAUGCUACGCGAAAAACCUUACCAAGUCUUGACAUGUUAGUCGUAUAGCUAAGAAACUAGCUAGUCAGUUCGGCUGGACUAUCACAGGUGUUGCAUGGCUGUCGUCAGCUCGUGUCGUGAGAUGUUGGGUUAAGUCCCGCAACGAGCGCAACCCUUAUCUUUAAUUGCCAACAGGUA